rnacentral:lncRNA from 1 species
AGUUGAAGGAGGUGAGGAAAUUUUGGAAAGAAUCAAGAUUUCUUAGUUAAGCGUGGUUGAUAUAUAAGAAUCAGGAUGUGAAAAAUUUAAUUGAUCUAUGGUACUCCCAAAAGUUAAUAGAUGCGAUUUUGAUCAUUUUUAAUGAAGUGUCUAAAGUAUCCAAAAAAAAUUAAUCAAAAUAUCAUAGAAAUAAGUUUUGAUUAUCCUAACAA